rnacentral:rRNA from 1 species
GUGUCAGCAGCCGCGGUAAUACAGAGACUGCAAGCGUUAUUCGGAUUCACUGGGCGUAAAGGGUGCGCAGGUGGCCGAGUGUGUUAGGCGUGAAAGCCCGGGGCUUAACCCCGGAAUUGCACCUAAAACUACUUGGCUAGAGCAUUGGAGAGGGGAGCAGAAUUCAUGGUGUAGCAGUGAAAUGCGUAGAUAUCAUGAGGAAUACCAGAGGCGAAGGCGGCUCCCUGGACAAUAGCUGACACUCAGGCACGAAAGCGUGGGGAGCAAAAGGGAUUAGAUACCCCCGUAGUCC